rnacentral:rRNA from 1 species
AUUGAACGCUGGCGGCAUGCCUUACACAUGCAAGUCGAACGGUAACAGGUUAAGCUGACGAGUGGCGAACGGGUGAGUAAUGUAACGGAACGUGCCCAGUCGUGGGGGAUAACUGCUCGAAAGAGCAGCUAAUACCGCAUACGACCUGAGGGUGAAAGCGGGGGAUCGCAAGACCUCGCGCGAUUGGAGCGGCCGAUAUCAGACUAGGUAGUUGGUGAGGUAAAGGCUCACCAAGCCGACGAUCUGUAGCUGGUCUGAGAGGACGACCAGCCACACUGGGACUGAGACACGGCCCAGAAUCCUACGGGAGGCAGCGGUGGGGAAUUUUGGACAAUGGGCGCAAGCCUGAUCCAGCCAUGCCGCGUGCGGGAAGAAGGCCUUCGGGUUGUAAACCGCUUUUGUCAGGGAAGAAAAGGUUCUGGCUAAUACCUGGGACUCAUGACGGUACCUGAAGAAUAAGCACCGGCUAACUACGUGCCAGCCGCCGCAGUAACAC